GACAGAGGAUGCAAGCGUUAUCCGGAAUGAUUGGGCGUAAAGCGUCUGUAGGUGGCUUUUUCAGUCUGCCGUCAAAUCCCAGGGCUUAACCCUGGACAGGCGGUGGAAACUACCAAGCUGGAGUACGGUAGGGGCAGGGGGAAUUUCCGGUGGAGCGGUGAAAUGCGUAGAGAUCGGAAAGAACACCAACGGCGAAAGCACUCUGCUGGGCCGACACUGACACUGAGAGACGAAAGCUAGGGGAGCGAAUGGG
rnacentral:rRNA from 1 species